rnacentral:RNase_P_RNA from 1 species
CUGGUCCGCUGGGUUAUUCGAGGAAAGUCCGAGCUCCGCAGAGCAGGGUGCCGGGUAACGCCCGGUCGGGGUGACCCGAAGGAGAGUGCCACAGAAAAGACACAGCCGCCGCGCGAGCGACGGCGAAGGUGAAAUGGUGCGGGUAAGAGCCCACCAGCAGCCGGGAGACCGGCUGGCUCGGUAGGUCGCUAGAGUCGCCGGGUAACCGGCGACCGAGACGGAUGACUGCCGCCCCACGGCGCGCCGGCUUCGCCGGCUGAAGCGGGGAACAGAACUCGGCUUACCGGCGGACUCACUCU